AAAUAUGUUUACCCCCUGAUGAAACAUUUGAAUUUGUUAUAAAAUCCUAGCACAAAUGUUUCUUGUCAAUAGAAAAUUGUAUGUUUUAGUCAGUAUAAGCUUUUAAUGAUAUAAGUUUGCUUGUGAUAGAAUGCUGCAUGAUGAUCAUUUCCUUGCUUAGAGCUGGUUGUUCUUUUCAUUGUUCAGGACUGAUUGUUCUUUAUAAAACAUGUUCUGAUAUUUGUAUCUGAGUCUUCUCACAGCGAUAGGAAGAAGUCAAACAAGCAGUUCUGACCUCCCACACACACACACACACACACACACACACACACACACACACACACACACACACACAUACGCACAUGCUCACGUCAAAUGUAUUCAUUUUUCUUAUGUAUAAAUAAAGACACGUGCAAGAACAGAGCGCGCAUCACAGGGCCCCCACUCUGGUGUGAGCGUUCUGUGAUCGCCCUUGUAUACAAGUAAAUGCUGCAGCGUCUGUGUGUGUUUCUCCUCUUAGACUCUUAGCUGAAGAAGUGUCUUUAGAAUAAAUCUCUUGACAUUUAUUUUGGUCCUUCGAAGCCGGGGCAGAAAUAUCAGAACUGUUAUCUGUGACUCUGUUCCAGGAUCCAGCACUGAUUCCUGACGCCGUGGGAAGCCAGCACCGAAGUCUAUGCACAGCCCUCUUAGACGAGGCCGAAAGACCUGGGACGCUAAAAUUCGGGUCCAGGCCGGUGUUUUUAGUCUGGUCCACGGCGGUGGGAUUCAGUCUGGCGAUCCGAACCACCAGUGAGACGUCUGAGGGUUGAAGCCAGGUGAUUGGAUCCUCGUCCGAGUACUCCAAAGAAAAAAUUGGAGCUCGCCACGGUGGGAGGGUCCAUACCAAGUGCCUGCAAAAUAGCGGAGAGACCCUCCUGGAUACAUCAGAGCCACUGCAAAAAAGUUGAGGUCCCCGAGGAUUCCACUUCCUCCACAGAAAUCAACUAGUAAAGGAAAGUCUCACUCGCGCUUGGUUGCUUCGGGGGUGAGGGGGGGCAGUGCUGAUUGGGCCCCCGUAGGGUAAGCCCGCACUCCAAUCUCCAUCCGAUCAACUUUAGGGCAGCC
rnacentral:lncRNA from 1 species